GACGAACGCUGGCGGCGUGCUUAACACAUGCAAGUCGAACGCUGAAGCUCAGCUUGCUGGGUGGAUGAGUGGCGAACGGGUGAGUAACACGUGAGUAACCUGCCCUCUUCUUUGGGAUAACGCCCGGAAACGGGUGCUAAUACUGGAUAUUCACUGAUUCUCGCAUGGGGGUUGGUGGAAAGGUUUUUUCUGGUGGGGGAUGGGCUCGCGGCCUAUCAGCUUGUUGGUGGGGUGAUGGCCUACCAAGGCUUUGACGGGUAGCCGGCCUGAGAGGGUGACCGGUCACAUUGGGACGGAGAUACGGCCCAGACUCCUACGGGAGGCAGCAGUGGGGAAUAUUGCACAGUGGGCGAAAGCCUGAUGCAGCGACGCCGCGUGAGGGAUGGAGGCCUUCGGGUUGUAAACCUCUUUCGCUCAUGGUCAAGCCGCAGCUUUGGGUUGUGGUGAGGGUAGUGGGUAAAGAAGCGCCGGCUAACUACGUG
rnacentral:rRNA from 1 species